AGGAAGACUGAGGAACGGGAGCCCCGUGAGACGCUCGCCCCCGGCCCCGCCCCCCCGCCCCGCCCCGCCCCGCGCAGCUCUGGGGUCGCAGGUUCGCUCCCGUCCCGGGGGAGGGGAGCGGCGCGACGGGGGACUCGGGGCCUGCGCCGCCGGUAGGUCUGGCCGGUGUCCUCCCUGCGGUGCUCCCCGGGCGGCCACCCCACUCCCUCCUCCUUCCCGGCCUGGCCUCCCGGCUUCCAGGAGCUGAUCCCGAGGGCGCGCCCAGGGGCCCACGCGGAAGCUGAGCCGAAAGGGGGCCGCGGGCGCCGCGGCGGAAAUGAGAUGCUGGGGUUGACGCCUGGCGAGAAGGCGGCGCGGCCGGGGGCGCUGGGCACCCCCUGGGGCCACGUGACCCGCCGCCAAUGCCGCGGGGGCCCUGCACCGCCGCCUGCGGCAACCCAAAUUCCUCGUCUCCACCCGCACCGCGUCCCCGGCGGCCAGGCCUGCGGUCCCCAGGCCCCUGUGUGGUCCCAGGCGCGGGCCCUGCCCGGCUCCCCCACACCGAGCCCUGGCUUCCUCGCUAGCUCCGGGCAGUCCUGGGCUCCUGCGCCUUCCCCGCCCCCGCUCGGUGCCCCUCGGUCCCCGGCGACCCCCGGAGCUCAGGACCCCGCGGAUCCUCCUCGGGCCGGUCCUGAGGGCACAGCGCCCCGGCGCAGCUCCCGGCCUCGCAGUAACCCUGAGGCUACUCGUAGGCACCCGCGACCCCGCCCUGCUUAUGGGAAAACGGGGUUGGGGAGGGCCAGGGAGGCCCCGGGCGAGGCGCAGGCGGUUCCUCAGGACGCCCCGCAGCCGAGGGGACCGCCUCGCGGAGCGCGGAGUCGGGCGCGGGACGGUGGUGCUGAGAGCUGUGGACGCCACGCGGAGGCGGAGUGAGGAGCGACCCUCCCAGGGCAGUUGCGCUGCCUGAACCCGCCCCAGCCGGUGCGGGAGAGGGAGGCCCGGGAGGAGGCGAGCGGGGCGGAGGGGAAAGCGGAGGGCGCGUUCGGAGGGACGACCAGGCCGCCCUUGCUGGGAGGACCGGCCUCAGCGGCUCGCAGGCCGCCGGUGGGCAGGAGCCCCGAGUUCUGCAGGAGCGGCCUCGGGAACGCGGAGCAGAAGUCAGUUACCGAUCGUGGAGGAAGGGACGGAAGGUGGGCGCCACCGGGCCACGUGGGGCCGAGAGAAACGCCACCGCCUGUUUCCUAUGAAAGCAGCUUCACACGUCGACGUCCCUAGAGAACGAUCUGGUCGGGAAGGAGAGACUGAGGGUGCACAGGCGGGGACUCCAGAGAAUCGAGGCUCCGGGAGGUGGGAAGUCCUGGACUAAGUCCUCACAGGAGGUGCCCCAGGCAGCAGGAGUGCGGAGGGGAGGCCUAUGUCCCUACAGCCUGGGGACACCCACAGCCUCGAGCUACCCACAUAUCUGGGACGCCCACGCCCCUGGGACACCAACACCCCAGGACACCCACACUUCUGCGACAUCCACACCCCCUGGGGUACUCCCAGGACACCCACACCCCUGGAGGCUGGCGUGGGCAGAGCCGGUGACUGCCCUGGGAUGAAAGCAGAUUUGCAUCAGAAAAUCCCUCCACACUUUGGGAGACUGAGGAGGACAGGUCAUGAGGUCAAGAAAUCAAGACCAUCCUGGCCAACAUGGUGAAAACCCGACUCUACUAAAAAUAGAAAACGUAGCCAGGCAUGGUGGUGUGCAUUUGUGGUCCCAGCUACUUGGGAGGUUGAGGCAGGAAAAUCGCUUGAACCUGGGAGGUUGCAGUGAGGCAAUAUCGCACCACUGCACUCCAGCCUGGGCAACAGUCUCAAAAAAAAUGAAAGAAAAGGAAAACUCUCAAGAACUGAGGCAAACCUGACGAACACAUGCUUAUUGAGAAGGGACAGAAUGGAACAAAGAAGAGAAAAUCGCCUGCAGCCCCAGGCCCAGGGAAGGCUGAGCUGGAGCGGUCACUCCCUCUGGAGCAGGGAACGCCCUCUUUCAGGGGCACCGCAGUAGCCACGCCGUGUGCUGGCUCUUUGCCAUGGGAGGCGAAGGAGGUGGUGUUGGCCCCUACUAGCUCCCGGGACAGAACCAGGGUCAGCCCUGCUCGCCUCUAUGAGGCCAGGCUUCCACAGCACAUCCUCUGUGUUCUCCUCCUGAGGCCUCAGCCACCCCGCCUGGGGCAGGAAGGUGGCUGGGGUCACAAGUCCAUGCUGUGAGCUAGGCUGCAGCCUCACAUCCCAGACUCUGUCCCCCACAGCCCAUGCCCCACUCGACAUCCCCUCAACCCCCACCCCACGUGCUGUUUCUCAAGCUCCACCCCCCCCACACCAUCCCCCAUACCCCACGUCCAGUCCCUCAGACCCACACACCCUUUCCCAUGCCCUAUCCCCAACACUGCACCCCUCCCAUGCCCCACACCUUUCAUCCCCACACUCCAUUCCCCCCACGCUCCAUCCCCCACACCCCACGUCCAGUCCCUCAGACUCACACACCCUUUCCCAUGCCCUAUCCCCAACACUGCACCCCUCCCAUCCAUGCCCCACACCCUUCAUCCCCACACUCCAUUCCCCCCACGCUCCAUCCCCCACACCCCACGUCCAGUCCCUCAGACCCACACACCCUUUCCCAUGCCCUAUCCCCAACACUGCACCCCUCCCAUGCCCCACACCCUUCAUCCCCAGUCUCCAUUCCCCCCACGCUCCAUCCCCCACACCCCACGUCCCCCUCCCAUGCCCCACACUCCAUGCUCCACACCCUCCAUCCCCACACCCAUUCCCCACACCCCAUGCCCCACACCCUCCAUCCCUCACAUCCCAUUCCCGGCACCCCACAUGCCUUUUCCCACACCCCACACCCCAUCCCCCACACACCGUUUCCCUCACCCCAUCCCCCACACAUCAUUUCCCUCACCCCAUCCCCCACACAGUUUCCCACACCCCAUCCCCCAGCCCCAUAUGCCGUUUCCCACACCCUAUCCACCACAUCACAGGCGCCAUCCCCCAUGCACUGUCCCCCAGAGGUCCUCCCCAGCCUGGGAGCAGCCUGUGAGUACCUCCCGGACACUGAGCGGCCCCAGACUACUUGUGUUUGUCAGACCUCACAGGCAGGGUCUCAUGGAGGCCAGGAAAGCAACAACCGCUCCUAACGUUCGUUGAAAAAGCCUGAGCCACCAAGAAGGGCCUUCCCACUGUCACACAGCAUGCGCUUGGAUGCCGGUUUCCAGAAGGAAAGAAAUGGAGCAGGAGCCCCCAGAAAACCCUCAUGGCAGGACAUAGGAAUGCAGGUUGGGAAACAUUUAAAGUGCCGAUGAAAAGCUGUCCUGUGGCCACAGUGCAAGUCAGAUCUCCAGAGUGCAUCUUGGGUGUGGAUGUCGGUGUCUGAAGAGAGCCUCCAGGAGACCAGGCCAGCUGGGCCGUUGCCUACAAGGGAGGCUGGUUUCCCAGGGCAGCUGUCCCAAUAAUGCCGGUUCCUGGAGGCCGUGCCGUGCCACUGGUUGACCAGCCCCAGGACGAGCCAGGUACUUGCACACAUGGGAAUCUGAAUUCUGCUCGGCCAAUUUAGCCUCGCUCCCCUCAUCACGACUGACGGCAGGUUUACGAUCUGUCCAGACGCCUGACACCACUAAGCUGCCAAGGCCAAGCUGAGCCGUGGCUGUUCCUCUUCCGUGGCUCUGUGCGUCCGUCCAGUUCUAGAGAGCAGAAUCCUGCAUCCCUACGGCACUGCCUUUCCAACGGGAUAAACGGGGAUCACUUUUCAUGACCGUCAACAUCUCACCCAACCGCCAACUUGUGCUGCGUUUUGAGCUUUAUCGUCAGCUGCUUCUGAGCUCCUGAUUGCCACGCAGCUGCGUCUCUAUUAACCGUCCUGAAUUCCACUUCAUGCUAUCGACACUGCUACACCAGAUUUCUUUUGGUUAGUGUUUGUGUGUUCUGUCUUUUUUCUUUUAUUUUCAAUCUUCGAUCUUUGUAUAGUUUUGCUCGAUGGUCUCUAAGUGGUUACUUGUUGCGUCCGAUGCCAUGCUCAUCCAGGAGGCCAGCUUAACACAGUCACUCCCGUCUGUUGUGAGGCAGACCCAUCUGGGCGCUGUCUUCAUCACAUUUAGUUUCCUGUUCACACACGUUCCCCUUUCUGCACCCUUCCCUUCCUCUGCCGGAUCAGCAAUACCCUCUCUGUGCUCCCUUUUCUGGUCAGGAGCAUGCUGGCGGCACUGUGCUCUGUGACGGCUCCUCUGCGCCUCCUCCGCUGCUUUCGCGUUUCCGACACGCUCAGCCUUGCUGCUGUCUUGUCGUCCUCACUGUCUGACACACUGGAGCAAAGGGGCCGUUUGGUGCCAGAGCCUCAUGUCGGGCCCUGCUCACUGCCCUGCUCUGUUCCGUCCCAACACCGACUCGCCGUGUGCAAGCACAGCCCUGGGGACCCCGACGGCACAGACGUUCUGUGUCUUAGACAAAGGCAGGCAGACGGCAGGAGUUGCUGAUAUUUAUUCAGACUUCAUCCAUACAAUAAAGAACUCUGCUUUUAAAAUUUCAUUUACAUCAGCAGUUAAAAAAAAAGUGACAGUGGAUGAAACAUGAAGCUGUAAAGUGCCUUUAUGGAGAGGGUCACACAAGGGCACGCAGCUGCACCAUGAGAUGGAGGCACUGCGCCCUCACAGCACAUCGGGGACGUAGGACACAGCAAGUUCCAAGUAACUUAUACAUCAGAGGAAAAGCUACUGAGUCUCUGCACGCUCCCUAUGUAAUUCUGCACCCUGGAGGUCUGGCCAGUGAUGGCUGCAGGCCACCACCAGGAGGGGAGCAUGAGGGGAAUGCAGCCAUGCCCGCCUCCACUGCGCUGGGGCCACAACCAUGAGGCGGUGAGUCGGCGCACCCAGCAGCAUGGGGACGGCGAACGUGCCCUUUCCGGCGAGGCAUAUGUACACACAUGGUCAGAGGUGCACACAUACAAAAAUAUCUGCAGACCAGACACCAAAAAGGCUUCAAAAGAACAAAAUAUGUUUCUGAAACACAAGAAGGGUAAAACAGAAGGGGUUUUUCCAGUUCUGCUGUGACUUAAAUAAAAUAAACUCUCCCCACUUACACUUCUUACCCAAGAUGGUCAUUGGGUGGCAGGUGGACCUGGAGGGUGGCAGGGGGCACGUGGGGGGAGUGGAGGUGUGGCCUCCGAGGAGGCUGCGGUGCAGUGAGGCAGGGGCAGGGCUCUCUGAGCUCAGGUCAGCAGUGCUGGUGCACACGACACCCUGCAAAAACGGCAUCUUCGUAUUUUCUUUAAAAGCAAUAAAAAUAUCCUAAUCCAGUGGAGCUCUUUAAAAAAAAUCAAGUCCCUGCAUUUUAUUUUUGUAGAAAAGAAGGUUAACUGUUUAAAUUAUGGUUUAAAUUUUCUUUUGAAAAUGAAGUGUCUGCAGGUGAAGGAAUCUCCUUGGCUUCUGACCGCUUUUGGUGGUGGAGAUGCCACCAGGGGCAUGUUUUCAUCCACCUGUGAGCAGGGAGCUCAGGGAGUGCCAUCUGUUUCCCACAGGAGGGUCCCAGAGUCAUGCCGUGGUAUAAACAACAUGCUUCUAUGUAAACCCCGGUAACAAAAAAUAGUUUUCUAUCAAAUACAGUAUCAAAUUGUCAUUUCGUGUAAACACAGUGAUUCCUGGUAAAGAAUUGAGGCCAAAGUACCACAAAAAAUGGCCAUGGGAUUGAUCCCUGCUUAAAAAAAAAUCCUAAAA